GAUGAACGCUAGCUACAGGCUUAACACAUGCAAGUCGAGGGGCAGCAUGGUCUUAGCUUGCUAAGGCCGAUGGCGACCGGCGCACGGGUGAGUAACACGUAUCCAACCUGCCGUCUACUCUUGGACAGCCUUCUGAAAGGAAGAUUAAUACAAGAUGGCAUCAUGAGUCCGCAUGUUCACAUGAUUAAAGGUAUUCCGGUAGACGAUGGGGAUGCGUUCCAUUAGAUAGUAGGCGGGGUAACGGCCCACCUAGUCUUCGAUGGAUAGGGGUUCUGAGAGGAAGGUCCCCCACAUUGGAACUGAGACACGGUCCAAACUCCUACGGGAGGCAGCAGUGAGGAAUAUUGGUCAAUGGGCGAGAGCCUGAACCAGCCAAGUAGCGUGAAGGACGACUGCCCUAUGGGUUGUAAACUUCUUUCAUAAAGGAAUAAAGUCGGGUAUGGAUACCCGUUUGCAUGUACUUUAUGAAUAAGGAUCGGCUAACUCCGUG
rnacentral:rRNA from 1 species